UAUCCAUAUUUUUCCAACAUAAAACAUAUCAUCAAUAGUUAACUUUGGCCGAUGAACUCACAAGUGUAGGUAGUGUGCUACAUGAGGGGCAAGUUUUUCGCUAACAUCACAAGGGUCUCUGGCCCAAUGAGUGGAGUUUGAUAGUAAUACUUGCUACAAAU
rnacentral:snoRNA from 1 species